GACGAACGCUGGCGGCGUGCUUAACACAUGCAAGUCGAACGGAAAGGCCCUGCUUUUGUGGGGUGCUCGAGUGGCGAACGGGUGAGUAACACGUGAGUAACCUGCCCUUGACUUUGGGAUAACUUCAGGAAACUUGGGCUAAUACCGGAUAGGCGCUCCUGCUGCAUGGUGGGGGUUGGAAAGUUUCGGCGGUUGGGGAUGGACUCGCGGCUUAUCAGCUUGUUGGUGGGGUAGUGGCUUACCAAGGCUUUGACGGGUAGCCGGCCUGAGAGGGUGACCGGCCACAUUGGGACUGAGAUACGGACCAGACUCCUACGGGAGGCAGCAGUGGGGAAUAUUGCACAAUGGGCGGAAGCCUGAUGCAGCAACGCCGCGUGCGGGAUGACGGCCUUCGGGUUGUAAACCGCUUUCGCCUGUGACGAAGCGUGAGUGACGGUAAUGGGUAAAGAAGCACCGGCUAACUACGUG
rnacentral:rRNA from 1 species